rnacentral:rRNA from 1 species
GACGAACGCUGGCGGCGUGCUUAACACAUGCCGGUCGAACGGAAAGGCCCUGCUUUUGUGGGGUGCUCGAGUGGCGAACGGGUGAGUAACACGUGAGUAACCUGCCCUUGACUUUGGGAUAACUUGAGGAAACUGGGGCUAAUACCGGAUAGGAGCUCCUGCUGCAUGGUGGGGGUUGGAAAGUUUCGGCGGUUGGGGAUGGACUCGCGGCUUAUCAGCUUGUUGGUGGGGUAGUGGCUUACCAAGGCUUUGACGGGUAGCCGGCCUGAGAGGGUGACCGGCCACAUUGGGACUGAGAUACGGCCCAGACUCCUACGGGAGGCAGCAGUGGGGAAUAUUGCACAAUGGGCGGAAGCCUGAUGCAGCAACGCCGCGUGCGGGAUGACGGCCUUCGGGUUGUAAACCGCUUUCGCCUGUGACGAAGCGUGAGUGACGGUAAUGGGUAAAGAAGCACCGGCUAACUACGUG